CGCAAGGCAAAGAGCUGCAAAGAAUGCCUGUUCUCAUUGUGGAUGGAGGACAACUAAAUCAGAAAAACGGAGGCAGAAUAGAGGUUCUGUGAUUUCCGGAACAACAAAAGUUCAGCAAGGAUGUUUUGAAAUAGCAUCCAAAGCCUGUCGGCGGUGGACUCGGGAUGGAGGCUUGACGGUUUGCUGUAGAGAACAUGGGACUCCUAUGAAUGGCCUGGAUUGAAGCUCUUGGCAAACGCACACUGUGGAUUGUAGGCUUCUAACCCAGAAGUGGCCACCCUCUUUAAUUAGUUGCUUGGAAGUCUACAUUUGGCAUUCUCUGUUGAAAAUGGUGAUUUAGAAGUAUCAAAGUUUUCUUUGGUUAAUUGAAUCUUGACCAUUUCAAGUUAAUUAAAAAGAGACUUGUCAGACUCAGAGAACUACCAAAUUUUCAGGAAGCUCGGGAGUUUUUUGAGAUUCACAAGACCCCUUCUUGGGAUUAAACAACAAUUGCUGAGGGAGGAGAAGAUACUCCUAAGUGACAAUGAGGACAAGUCCUCAAAGAUUUCUGGUAAUGUAGCAUCCUUGUGGUAUCACCUACUGGGUAUUGUUUUUGGUGAGAAAGCUACCUUGAGUGACUCCUCCUCCUGCAAGCCAUUUCACUGAAUUCAUUAGUUCCCCAUGAGAGACUUGAGCUGCCUAUCAGUGCCCUGACAGGUGAUGAACAGGAUGAGCUCUCUCUCUCCAGGAAUAGUCAAAAAUUAAUCAGUUAAUGUAGAUAGGUGAUUGGAUUUCAAAAGAAGGUUUUUCAGGCUGUGGAUUUAUAUGGAAUUUGGUUAUGGACUCUAGC